GCCCGUCUCAUUUCCCCUUUCAUCAGCUUAAUACCAAACAAAACCCUAAACUUUGCCUUUUUCAUUGAAAUGGUUUCACAAACCCUAGCUGCCCUUUCUCUCUCUUGGUCAACAACGCCGAAAAUGGCAAUCGUCCACGCGUUUUUGCUUUUCAGAGGCCCUGCAUGGUCACUUUUGGAAAUCAUUAAAUGCUUGUGCUCUCUCUCCACCGUAGAACCUCCAGGAAAGGUAAAAGCCCUCUUCCUCUCUCUUUUGCUUUUCUAAUUCAACAAGGACGAAACCUUAAUGGGUUUUGUCGGUUUGUUCUUGAUUUUCUAUUGGUUUUCAGCGAAUCACAAUGACUCAAGAGGAAACCCUAAAAACCUUUAGUCCCAUAUCGUUUGCAAACUAGAAAAUUGAGGUUUUGGGGUUCUAUAUAAACAACCUCAUACCCUUCAAUUUGAACAAGUCUUUUCGGGGCAAAAAAUACAUAAUUUUUCGAUUUAACUAGGGAUUUAGCUAUAGCUGAAACCUUUACCAUGCUGAAGUUUGAUCUGUACCAUAUUGAAGUUUGAUCUGAAACCGUUACCAUACUGAAGUUAGAUUUUUAGUAUAAAAUUUUACUCUUUUGUGUGUGGCUGAGUGUUCGAUACUGUGGAGAAGUCCAAGGAUCCUCCCAAUUCCAUUCUCGAUCAAGGCUGCCCCUAAGAAAGGUAAUCCUUCAUCCUUUCCCAGCUUUAAUAUUCUAUUUGUGUGCUGGCGUGCCUAUCUGUGUCGUGUGUAUUAGUUUAAUUAUGUAAUUGAAUUUAGUUUAUAUCCUUGCUUAGAUUAAUCUUGUAUACCAUGUAUUGAUUAAUUAAAUUUGUAGUUAGAAUGUUUAUUUGCCUAGGGUUGGGUGUGACAAGCCCUAGUAAUCUGCUUAGUUAUUUAAGUGGCUUAAGCAUGAUUAUGUGGUUGUAGUUGUUUAGUUUAGUGUCCUGUUUGUUAACUGUCACGACCCAACCUACGGGUCUUGCGGGCACCUACCAUAUUACUAACCUAGUAGGCGAACCCUUACCAAUAAACCCAACAUUUAAAACUAUUACGACAACCAUCUUUAAAAAUUACAGACUUAAAGUAAAAACUUCGUACAAACUGUUUCAAAACACAAUAAAUCUGAAAGGAAAUUUCCCGGGAUCUAGUCUAGACAGGUACAAGAGCUCCUAUAGUACAGGAAGACAAAAUAAAUGACACAGCCUUCGCCGGGAGUGAGAUAAGCGAGGAUGUAGGAGAAUGUCAGGAAAAUCCCCACGGCGAAACUUCAAGUAAGACCUGCAACACAUCUACACCCAGAAAAGGCGUAGCAAGAGUAGUAUCAGUACACCACACGUACUGGUAAGCAUCAUAGGUCAACUAAUAUUAGUUCACGCAACACAAUAUAAAGUCAAUAAGAUAAACAGAUAAGUCAAUGAAACUCAAGAUUCUAAAUAAAGAUUGUUACAUUCUCAUAACUUGCCUUCCCACUCUCGCUGUUCACUUCUUUUAUUUCCAAGAAUUACGGGCAUUCUACUUACUCACAAUCGUUACCUCCCUUCCAUCCAACCUAUUCACCCCUGUCUCCACGCUCAUCGUAUACUCUAGCUUCUACCCUUUUAUGUUCGUAAAGUUCACCUACACCAAUUACUUACUACAACACGAUGUGCACCUAGGGAAAUGGGUCACUAUCUGACAAUCCGCUACUAUACUUAUCUUAUAUUAGUCCUCUCUCUACCCAGAUUCUCAAUGAGGACAUAAAGAUGAAUAUGCAAUAUCAACGAUAGUAGUACACCUAUGUAUAUCAUAGAAAUAUGAGAUGUAGUGAAAUGCAAAAUGCGAUGCAAGGGCCCAAACACACUGUACACACAUGCUAUCUGAUGUCAUUGCUCAGUAGUCAUGACCUGCAGGGGACCCAUGGUGUACAUGUACCACUUGUUCCGAAAUACUCCUCGGACCCGAGCACAAACCUCUGCUCCGGAAUAAACCUCGGACACGAGACAUAUCAUACAUAUAUCCACGUAUUCAACUCAACGGCCACAAGACCAGGUAACACAAUGCCCACACUCGGCCUUGCCUGCCACAUGUAUUUCCUCAUAAAGCCAUGCAAUGCAACGAUGCAAUAUAUAUAUCAAACCAAUCAUAAAUCCUGCCCUUGAUGUCGUAGUGCCAGUCCAACUCAAUAUAGUUCUUUCAAUACAAAUCUUUUGUUUCCAAGGAAAACAGCCAUGUCAAUAUUUAAGAAAAUCGGGUAUAAAGACGGAAAUCACCCACUUCUAGGGGUGCAUAAAUUAAACACGAAGUACCCCUCAGUAAUAACAACACUUUCUAUUAAUAAUAACUCAUUAUUACCCUAGCUAUCAUUUACACAAUAUUUUAGUCACAUUAACGAGUAUGUCCAUCCAAACUCCAUGUCCGAAGACCUAAUCAUGCAGUCUCCCGUCAACUCUAAAGGUAUGUACGAUUCGCUAAUCAAAGUCUAACUCAAGUAAACCAUAACCUACCUCGUUGACGAACCGCUAAUUGAAUCUCCAUGAAUUUCUCAUCUUCCUAGCCUUCAUCCGAAUUCAUGAGCGGUAAUAUUCGUAGGGAAUGAUGGGAACGAAAUUUAGAAAGGUUUCUUUUUCUUGGUGUCAAGGGCUUUUUGUUCAUAUGGAACCCUAGGAGCAGCGCUUGGGAUUCUUCUAUUGAAAAAGGAGAGAAAAAUACACUAAGUGACCAAAAACGCGUCAUUGCCCCGCGUGGACCGCUAUAGCGGUCCGCUUCUUUUCCCGAGCCCGCAAUUUCUAAUUCUUUUCGAAAUUGAUUUUUCCCACUUUUAACCCUUAAAUCACAUCAUAGAGCUUAGUAUUUACGACCCUAGACCUAGAUUGGUCACGGGUUCGCGGAAUAUUAAAUAACGACCGGACGGGUCGUUACAUUAACUCAUCCCUAUAUUGAUUAGUUUAACUUAAAUGGCGUAGUUAAGGAACUAUGGUAUGGUGUGCUUAAUCUAUACUGGUCAACUUAGUUAUUUAAAUUAUUUUAGCAUGAUUUUGUAAGUCAUGAUGUUGGAUUGGUACUCUGUUUGUUUAAAACUUUCAUGUGCUGAUUAGUUUAACUUAUGGGACAUAGUUAGAAAGUUGUGUUUGAUAAACUUCAAGGAAGAUUAGCUUUUAAUAAAACUGAUUAAGCAUGAUUUUUGUUAAGUUCUUUGUGGAGCCGUGUUUAGCUUAAUACUGGAUCAGGUGAUAACCCCUAUUUAGGACAUGUUUCACACACUGCAGAUGGCUUAACUAAUUCAAUUGUUCCUUUGUUUGAUUUGACCUUCAAAUAGUUUAGUGUUGGGUGUUUCACUUAGUGUAGUCAAUAUGGGAUGCUAAUAACUUGUAUUGAAUAUGAAACCUUAGUGAUUGAGAUGAAUUAAUAAUAACCUUGUGCUAUAACCUGUUGUCUAUGCCAACACUUGUUCUGUAGAAAUGCUAAUCAUGCCUUAUAGAAUCUUUCUUAGCCUAUUAAACCAAUGUGAAUUUGGUUUUAGUUAAAUGAUUGAAGUCUAGCUACUAAAUUAAAAAGAUUAUUGAUUGAACAAAGGGGGGUAACAAUAUGGUUUCUCGUUUAGGAUGAAGACUUGGACUUGCAAUAUGAUCAUGUGUAGUGUGCUCUAACUCCAUGUUAAGUUAUGGUUGUUUCAGACCUUGAAAUUUCGUUUUUUGCACUACACUCACUUGUGUAUGUUUGAGUUUCAACUUCAUCAAAUUAGCUAAUUGGUCUAAAAAGAGAAUAAGUGAGUGUAAAUGUAGUCUUGAUGAAUGCUGACCUAUCCAUCCAUAGUUGUGAUUCUUGAAGUUUUAGUGUUGUGGAUCUGUGUAAACCUAAGACAAGUUUUGGAAUCCUCUUUAUGUCCACAAGCAUGAUCCCAUAAUCACUUCCUCUCAUCCAUAAUUUGCUAAACAUGAACUGUUUGACCGAGAAAAGGUGUUUGUUUUGUUUGUCUUCUUAUGUGUGCUUAGUAUAGCUAAGCAAGUGGUCUUUACACCACCUAUGGGACUAUAAAGCUAAUGCAAAUUUGUCCUGAUCUAGCUAUAGGAUAAUGAAACAUAAGACCUAAAACCUAGGAAUUUUAAAAAUUGUAAAAAGAUAUGUGUAUAACUAAAUAUUGAAGAAACUGCAUUGGGUUUUUAUUUCAAGCAUGAUCCUCCCUGUCCCCUUCUCCCUUGGGAUUUGUUGUGUCAUUAUCUUAGAUGAUAUGGUUAGGAAUUCCUCUUGCCAUGUCUUAUCCCUUCUACAUAUAUUUGGGUUCAACGUUGUGUAUGAGACUGCAAGUCAAAAAAGGAAUCUGUGAACCAUCUUUAUUCUAGUAAUGUACCUUCAAUUGUGCAAACUUGCAUCGUGUUUGUCCACCUUUCUGAAUUCCUAAGUGACUAACUAAAUGAAAAGGGGAUGUUUGAACUUAAAGAUUAGGAAGGAAAUAUGGUCUGUUUGCUUUUGUCUUUUUGACGGAGGUGUCACUCUUCAUUAAGUAAGCACUGCGUGAUGUCCUAGGGCCAUGAGCCCAAGAAAGGACUAUUGAGUAUCCUUACUCAGUCUUAUCUUGGUUUGUUCUUGCUGCUGGGGUUCCUCUUUGCUAUCACUUAGGAUUGUGGGACACUUUAUAGAUGUUGGAGGCAGUAAACUAAGAUGAGACUGAAGAUCUGUUAUUUGAACCCUAUCUAUCCUGACUGUGACAUAAGGCUUAAGGGCCUCUUUGUGUUGUUUCGUCUGCUAAUGACAUAUCUAAACUAAUAAAUGUGGCCUCCAUUGUUUGGUAUGUAAGCCUCAAGCCUUAUGAUGAAUUUGAGGCUAAAUAGUGGCUUUAUAAGUGUCUAAAUGAUCUACUGAAAGUGUCUCAUGUAUGUAUGCUAAGAUAUUCUUUUGAGGCAGUGUUGAGUGUCAUAAUAAGGCAUACUAUUUCCCUACUGGAUUUCUAAGUAUGUCUCGUAAGUUUAAGCUUUAAAAGUGAUCUCAAAAUUUAACAAAUGUGUAGACAGUUCACCUUGGGACAUGAUUUAAUUGUCUGAAAGCUUGUGUUGCUUCUUCUUCAAGUUUGACGAUAGUUGAGAAAGCAUAUUUGUUCUUAACUGGCUUUGUGUAUGUUUCAAGCCUAGAAUAAGUAAUUGGUGCCUUCUUUAGACCGUUUAGUCUGAUAAAGGGAAUGAUUCAUAUGCUAUAACAGAAGUAUACUCAUUGUAUAUCAUGGCAUAUUCGGAGUAUAUGAGACUGACUAUGUGUGCUUGAUGUAUAUACUUGUCCGAAUUCUUAUUCUUCUCUUUCUUGGGUGGGUAUGCUGUGGUAUACUACCAGAAUAUAUAAUGAUAUAUACCUCAAAUAUGCUUUAGGAUACAGAGGGUAUAUAUCGUGUAUACCCGUUACAUAUCAACACAUAUUGCGCUGCUAUAUCUGGACUGUUAACUAGACUGUCUCUUCUCCAUUUUUGUUCAUCUAAAUGUUAUUGAGCCUAUAUUGGAUCCAUGUUGUUCCUGUCUUAUAUGUCUGAAUCUGCUAUGAUAUGUGUUAAAUGGGUCUAUAUUCGAUCCAUCUAAGGGUAUCUUGAAGUUUGCUUCAGUUGUGAUUAAAUUGAUAUGUGUUAAAUCUUCUUGUUAAAUAUGUAGUUAAGUAUGGAUGCCUUCUAAUUGCCUUUUUCCUUUCCCCUUUUAACAUGAACUCGCGUGGGGUCAAUUGGGCCCAAACCUGCAUAUCGCCGCCUCUGUUGAUCCAAAAACCCAACACACCAAUAGAUCGCACCAGCCACGUCAUAAGAAGGCCCAACCAUGGGUGAAAAUGGUGCAAGUUUAACUGGUGGGCUCAGUAAACCCACUAGUCCGUUUCCCUUUCAUGUUAUAUAUAUAUAUAUAUAUAUAUAUAUAUAUAUAUAUAUGUUGUAUGUAAAACUAUUUGUAUUCUAUUGAAACCCCUUUAGAAUCUAGUUGAAAUAUUUUUAGGCAAAACGAUGCUAAGAUCGUUAGAAAUGGUAGAAGACCUUUUUUUAAAUGAGACCUAACCUAACUUUGACACGAAAAAAGAAGAAGAUAUAUACGGUUUACUCUUCAAAGUGAAUCCGUAACAAAUGCACAUUUUUCCUCAAAAUGAUUUGAAAGCUUUCCAAAGGCAAUUUCUUUCAAAAUAAGAGUAUGUUUUGCUAAGCAUGAGUACAAAAAGGUUUAUGUUUUUUUGGACAUACAAAAUCGUAAAUUUGUUUGAAACAACAAGAAAUGGGCUAAGACAAAUGAAUACUUUCACUAAAUUAUGGCUUCUUAAAAACAAACAAAAUACGCCAAGUCAUUUUCUUGAAAUCAAUUCACAAGAAUUAAAUAAUUCAUACUACUUUGGACCAAAUUGAAAUAGAACUCUACUCAAAAUCACUUCUAGUGUGUUUUGGUCUAGAAAAGUUGUUACAUUCCGUGUUUCAUGUGUUAGAAAGCGUGCUAGUUAAAAGACAUAAUAGGGGAAAAUGAGAUUACCCCCGAGCUUAUAGGUUAAGACUCAAAAGUGGAAUGACGGUGAGUGAAAAUAAUAUCUUGUGUAUGCCAAAAGAUGCUACGGACAAGUGUUAUAUCACAUAAUCAUGAUAAUGAGUAUAUGUGUGUUGAAAAUGAUUAUUAUUUAAGUGAGUUGAGAUCAAGAGAUUAAUUAUGGGGGUAUUUGGUUAAAGGUCGAAAUAGAUGGAGGGUAAAGAAGUAAUUUUGGUGUUAAUGGAUUAAUAGAGAAAUAUUACUUCAAUUAGUAUGUUUACACGUGGGAGCCUAGGACAAGUGCAGCAUAUGAAUAUGCUUAUACAUGAAGAAGUGGCUAUUAUUAGUACCCUUUGGAUAAGAACCAAUUAUGGGAUAAAUAAUCAAUUAUGUGCACAAUAUGUACAAUCACUAAAAGACAAAUCCAAGUGAUGACUAACGUGGGGAGGAAGCUUAUGCGUCUCAUGUUUAGCAAUUAGGAAUUAAAUAUGUCCAGCCACCUUGAUUUUCAUUUGUAAAAUAGAUAUUACACCUUGUUUAAGUAAGCAAAUAGACCAGCAAAUCUUUCUCACGUUGGAGAAGAAAGCAAGCAUACGUUUUUGGUCUUUGGGGUUCAUUUGAAGAAAGAAAAACAUCAUUUCCAACAAUAUUAUGGAAGAGCAGGACGUGUCCGGCAGUGUUGUUCCAUUUAUUCUUAUUCAAAGUGUAAAAAAGAGUAUGAAGUGGAGACUUGAAGAUGAUAAGAUAAGCUGAAAUGCCCUCUAGCACUAGAGCCAUUUAUGAAGGUGUUGUAAUAAGGAUCAAGAUUGGCUAAGUGUCGGAGAAGUACGUUGGAAGAUUAACUUAAGCGGUACAGAUUGGCCAGUGUUGGAAGCAUAGGUUGAGUUAAGCGCGUAAGCGACAAAGGUUGUUUCUCGUACUUUCAUUAUGACUUAUAUCUCAUUCAUUAUGAUUACUGCUGCCUUACAUACUCGGUGCAUUGUUCGUACCGACGUCCCUUUGCCUGGGGGCGCUGUGUUUCAUGCCACACAACCACAUGUUGCUUUGCAGUAAAGUUAUACAAGAGCUUCACUAUAGGAUGUCCCAGGCUAUCAGCUGGAUUGGUAAACUCCAUUCUGUUCGGAGUGAUGCCGCGUCGGAGUAUUUCCUUGUGAGUUGAGUCAUGCAUUAUGGGUAUGUUGGGGCCCUGUCCCAAUUUAGGUUUUGAUAUCAUAUCUUACAUUAGAGACUUUUGCAGACAGAGUCAUGUAUAUAUAGUAUCUCAGUCUUGUAAGCGGCUAUGUAAGCCGAUGUAUCAUUAUGCAUUACUUUACAAAUUUUACUUGAUUUGAGAAAGACAAAAAGAAUAUUUUUGAAAAGCUUUCAUUAUGUA